GACUGGAAUGUGCUGCUGGAAACAGAUGUGGAUAGUAUGAACAUUGAUAAACAGGUUGACUGCUUUACUGAUUAUGUCAACUUCUGUAGAGACACAGUUAUACCCACAAAAACUGUUCGCUGUUUCCCCAACAACAAACCCUGGAUCACAAGAGACAUAAAAGCAAUCCUUAACCAGAAAAAGAAAGCUUUUAAAGAUGGUGACCAAGAACAACUCAAACAAGUGCAACAAGAGUUGAAGAGGAGACUGAAGAUGGCAAAGUUGGAGUACAAAAAGAAGAUAGAGAAGAAUCUACAACACAGCAACAUCUGUGAAGUGUGGAGAGGAAUCAGUACCAUCUCUGGACACAGCAGUCAAAAGAAAAGACAGCCAGUGGUGGGUGAUGUGAAAAGAGCUAAUGAAUUCAACCUGUUCUUCAACAGAUUUGACACUGCUGUCACUCCCACUUCCACUGCUACUCCACCUUCCUCUCUGCAACAAAUCUCCACUACAACUUCUCCCCUUCCUCCUCCAUCUCGUUCAAAUGUCUCAACCACUUCAACUGCCUCCCUCCUAGAACACCAGUCCUUGUCUGUCACCGAAACAGGGGUGAGGAUAGAGCUUGGAAGACUUUGUCCUGGGAAGGCAGGUGGUCCAGAUGGUGUGUGUCCAAGGCUGCUUAGAGACUGUGCUGCAGAACUGUGUCAACCUCUCCACAAGAUCUUCAACCUGAGUCUACAGCUGGGGCAGGUACCCACUCUGUGGAAAAAAUCCUGCAUUGUGCCAGUACCAAAAAGAAAAGUCCAGCUGAACUCAAUAACUACAGACCAGUUACCCUCACUUCACACAUCAUGAAGACCCUGGAGCGGCUGAUUCUGCGCCUUCUAAGGACUGAGGUCAAAGACAAACUGGACUCCCUGCAGUUUGCAUACAAAGAACACAUUGGAGUGGAUGAUGCUGUCCUCUACAUGCUUCACCGUGCCCUGUCUCAUCUGGAGGAACCUGGGGUUUAUGUGAGGAUCAUGUUCUUCGACUUUUCAAGUGCAUUCAACACCAUCCAACCCACCAUACUCAAAGACAAGCUCACAGAGAUGGGAGUGGAUCCUUCCUGUGUUUCCUGGAUCGCAGUUUACCUGACAGGAAGGCCACAGUUUGUCAGGCUGGGGAACUGUGUUUCUGGGACAUUAAUGAGCAGUACAGGGGCUACACAAGGGACAGUGCUGGCGCCAUUCCUGUUCACACUGUACACGUCAGACUUCAAAUACAGUACUGAGUCCUGCCACAUCCAGAAAUACUCAGAUGACACCGCUAUUGUGGCAUGUAUCAGAAAUGGACAAGAAGCUGAAUACAGAGAUCUAAUAAGAGCCUUCAGUGACUGGAGUCACAAAAACUGCCUCCUCUUCAACACCUCAAAGACAAAGGAGAUGGUCAUAGAUCCAAACCCCCUCUUCAGCCAGUGAACACCUGAGGAGUAGACAUCGAAGUGGUGACUUCAUAUAAAUACCUAGGUGCACAUCUGGAUAAUAAGUUGGAUUGGUUUAAGAAUAUAGACUACAUCUACAGAAAGGGGAGCUGCCUCUUUUGCCUGAGAAGACUCCAAUCAAUAGACAUCUGUAGUAAGAUGCUGCAGAUGUUUUAUCAAUCUGUGGUGGCAAGUUCUGCUGGGGAGGACGCAUCAAACACAAAGAUGCAAGACGUCUUAACAAACUGGUGAAAAAGGCUGGCUCUGUGGUAGGACUCAAGCUGGACUCAGUGGAGGAUGUGGUGGAGAGAUCUACACUGAGGAAGGUGGAGACUAUUCUGAAGAACAUGGAUCACCCACUUCAAAACACCUUGAUGGACCAAAGGGCAAAUGGUGGUGGACGGCUCCUCUCUCUUCGCUGCAGGACAAAAAGAUUUAGAAAAUCUUUUGUACCAACAGCCAUCAGGCUUUAUAACUCUUAUGUAAAUAAUAGAUAACUUUUAUAGACAUGUUACGUGAGACAACAGACAAUUUAAUUUCCCUCUGGGGAUCAAUAAAGUUUGAUAAAGUUUUUCUUAUCUCACAGCGGGGCGCUGUGUCAGUUCACCUAUAGCUUUGAUUGAUGGGCGGCACCGCACCACUGGAUAAUGUAGCUGUAGCUCUCGCCCUGCCCUCUCUGCUUUUGGACCUGUGUCAACAUUUUAGAUACCAGUGACCAUCCGUCUGUUUUCAUAUGUCACCUGGCAACCUUUUCGCGACACGAAUAUUUGCUCAAGUUGAGACAUUUUCAGCUCCCCCCAAUUCACAUCAUUCAUGCCAGAGUAGUACGAGCGUCUUUGCAUUGAUUUAACAUGUAAUUCGUUUGCACAAGUGAUUUCACUCACACUUGGUGUGUGGAGACAGUUACAGUUCCUGAACAGCAAUGCUGUUUUCUGCUCUGCUUCACUUCUUAGGAUUGAAUGGUGUUGUUGUUGCUGUCUUUGUAUCAAUGAAUGUUGGCCUCAAUCAUGGAGCACUGUUUGGCCUGUCCAGCGCCUGGCCUUUUAAUUGUUGAUUACCAUGAAUUUUUAAUAGGGUUCAGUGGAAUGCUGUUUAUUUCGUUAGCAAAUUUGUUGAGUUUGAUUAUAUUAGACAUUUAUUUGUCUUUUGGGUUAUUUUAUUUGUCCUUAUUGCUUUAUGGUUGCUGUGUGUGUGUGUGUGUGUGUGUGUGUGUGUGUGUGUGUGUGUUUGUUUGUUUGUGUGUGUGUGUAUAUGUUAGUUCUUCCUUCCGUUUUUUUUUUUUUUCUAGGGCUGCCACGGUAUGUUCCAGCCCUAUCCUAGGGUUUUUUCUUUUGUUUGUCCAUUUGGCCAUACUGAAAUUGAGUGUUGCAGUUGAUUUGGAUGUUCUGAAGUUAUUGGUCAUUUGUUUAAUAAAGACUUUCAUAUAUUUUGUACAAACCGUCUCUGGCCCUGUGGUAAUUUUUAACCUUGUGUGUCUUUCAAUUACAAUUAUUUAAUUAUUUCCUGGAGAGUGACUCCCCAGGUGGUGUUGCUUGGUAUUAUUAUUUAACUUUUCAACCCUCCAAUCACUACAUGAAGUUCUUAAUUAAGUAAAUAUUCCUUUAUAAUUACACCUGAGUUUGUUUGUGUAAAGAAUGGUAAUUUUUUUCCUGGCUUUCCGUAGCAUCUUGAUGGUCCUUACCAUGCACCUAAAUGGAAAAUAAUAAUUGUUGUCCUUUAUUAAAUUUUUGAGGUUAUAUACUUGUUUGCUGUAAAAUUGCUUCAGUGUUGAGCGCUGUACCUGUGUUUCAAUCCCUC